GGAAAAGUGUGAAAAUUCAAGGAAACAAGAAAAAAAAAGGUGGUGAGCUUUUUGGCAAAAGUAAAGAGUUAGUACCCAAGGAUCAAGAGUUGGAGUACUCGGAAUUCGACUCCCGAAAUAGGGAGGUGAGAAAAACUGAUAUAAAAGCCUUGCAAGGUUUCGG